rnacentral:rRNA from 1 species
AUUGAACGCUGGCGGCAGGCCUAACACAUGCAAGUCGAACGGUAACAGGAAGAAGCUUGCUUCUUUGCUGACGAGUGGCGGACGGGUGAGUAAUGUCUGGGAAACUGCCUGAUGGAGGGGGAUAACUACUGGAAACGGUAGCUAAUACCGCAUAACGUCACAAGACCAAAGAGGGGGACCUUCGGGCCUCUUGCCAUCGGAUGUGCCCAGAUGGGAUUAGCUAGUAGGUGGGGUAACGGCUCACCUAGGCGACGAUCCCUAGCUGGUCUGAGAGGAUGACCAGCCACACUGGAACUGAGACACGGUCCAGACUCCUACGGGAGGCAGCAGUGGGGAAUAUUGCACAAUGGGCGCAAGCCUGAUGCAGCCAUGCCGCGUGUAUGAAGAAGGCCUUCGGGUUGUAAAGUACUUUCAGCGGGGAGGAAGGGAGUAAAGUUAAUACCUUGGCUCAUUGACGUUACCCGCAGAAGAAGCACCGGCUAACUCCGUG